rnacentral:lncRNA from 1 species
AAAACAGCUCUCUGCUUCUUUCUUUCUUAAGCCAGUUCUCCCAAAUAAUGAAGCAGCUACCUCCCACAUUGUCAAUUCACAGAGACAAAGCAAAAGCUACCAUAGCAAUUAAAGCACUGCAGAGAAGUUGAAAUGAAAAGAAAGAAUUUUGGUUCCUGUCCAUUCAUCCAAAACUAAACAAAAAUCAUGGUAAACAUCUAAAAGAAACAAAUAUCAUAGUAUGAUCAUUAUAAAACAGGUCACUAAUAAAUAAUUACCAGAAUAUCAAAGAUCACUUAGUGACUUCUCUACUCACCUAGAUUGAACCCCUUCAUAUAAAUUCUAAAUCGUGUAGACCUGAAAAACAAAGCUGCACCUUCAAUUGCAGCAAUAAAAUUCUGUAAUCUUCAGAGCUGCAUAAAGCAUGACUUACCUUUGUAUAUCUCAAGUCUUCUUCCCUGCAAACACAGACCAUGAAAAUUAAUCCAUCGAUCAUUUACUCUCAUUCAUAGCAAAUCAAUUUUGAUCUAAAAAGCAAACCCCAAAAAGUAUAAGUAAAAUCUCAACCAAAAAAUUUCUUUUUAGUUUGCAGAAACAUACCCGGUUUGUUUCCAUGGAAUUUCCCAAUUGGUCCUCUAUUUUCAUCAGCGGCCUCUACUCAAUUUUUCAAGGCCAGUAUCUUUCCUCAAAUCCAAGUCCACAAACAAUCUCACACAUUCAUGGCCUCAAAAUCAAUGGAAAACAUAAUCCACAAUCAAUGGAAAUAUUGUGUUAGGCAAGAAUCGCACAGGAUUCACAAUCAAACACAAAGAUUCAAAAUUGUUGGAAACAAACAAAAAUCCAAUUAUCUCCCAAGCCAAGUUUUCAUCCAAAACCCAGUUCAUCAUAGCAAACCCAACCAUAAUCAAACACAAAGCUUCAGUAUUGACCAAAACAAAUCGAAACCCAAUUCCUUAAAUCCCAUUCAGAAUGAAGAUGCAUUGAUUCUGGAAAUAAUUUUAAAUCGUACCUCAAGACUUCAUCGAAAUCCACUUUAGUUCUUCGUUCAAAAUCUCCAUCUCGGUUGGCCUGCAUAAAAAAAAAAGGAAUAAUACGUAGAGGAUUAUGUGAUAGAACCAAAACAAUCACGUACCCAUUGUAUGUCUAACAGGACCUACCCUGAAUUUCAUCAUGAAACCCGAGGUAAAUCCUGCGGGGUCUAUUUUCAAGGAAAAUUUAUCGAAAAUUUCGCAUAACCUUCCUUAAAAAUGGACUACCCUUACCUGAAAAAUCUAACUUAACACUUCUAUAACCAAACAUCCAUCCUCAACACCUGGAGCCUUCCUGCUCCCCAAGUCUAACACAUCUCCCAAUAUAACAAUUACUCAACUAAACUAAAUCCACAACCAACAAUAACCAACAUUAAUUCACUAACUGAUUAUCAGAUCAUAUCUAGAGUUAAAUGAAAAACAAUGAAUAAAGAAUAAGCGGAAGCAGCCUCUGACUAUGCCUCGACUCCAUGUACGUCCGACCUCACUUAGACUGAGCCUGCAAUCUGGGCAUUUAAAACCAAAGGGCCCAAAGGAAAGUAAUUUAAAAACGUUAGAGUGAGUGGACGAAAAUAAACAUAGGAUAAGAAACCAAAACUUAAAUACUUUUCCACUUUCCAAUAUGCAAUAAAUCCGUUGCAUGCAAAUGUUGACAAAUCUUACCUAAAGAAAAUCCCAAGGAAACGGACUAGCCCCGCUAGUCAAAUUAAUGACAAAGAUAAAUAAUAACCUUCAUAGAAGAAGGUACCCAAAACAAGGGACUAGCCCCGCUAGUCAAAACGACAACAAAGAUUUAUAAAGACUUUCGUCAAAAGGAAUAACAAAAAGAUGGACUAGCCCCGCUAGUCAAGUCAACAACAAUAAAUAAGAAACAGAUAUAGCCAUACAAGUGAGCCUCCCAGACUCAGUUGCCUCCCAGGCAAUAGUACUCCUAUACUCCCUACACCUUCAUGUUAUUAUAACAGAGAGGAUGUAGGGCUUGCGUGAUGUCGUCGACUACAUCACGUCACCCGAAGGCGGAAAGGGCUUGAGUAACCCCACUUAAAACGUGGAAACCACAUCGCCUCGAAAGGCGGAACAACAUGCUAGCAUUAGUAAUAUAUUAUCCGACAAGUAUGACAUAAAUAAAGAAACAUAUAUCCAUGUGAGUUUCCCCGAAACUCAUAAUUAAAGCAUUAGUAUGAUUCCCAACCGUACUCAAAGAAUUCAAAGAGUAAAGAAAUUAAUUAAAUUCAACGACGUGUCCCACACGUUAAAAUGCUUAAUGAAAUAAAUAACUCAUAUCAUUACCAUGUUUCAUAAAUUAGACAAUACUCAAAUCUUUAAAGAAAUCUCAAAUCCGGAGAUCAAAAGAAUAUCAUAAUUCAAAUACCAAAACUCUUACCCAAGCUCAAAUCCAUAACUUCAUUAUCGAAAACAUAACCAUAAUGUCAAUCUCCAUUAAAUUCCAUAACCAAUUCAAAAGCUGAAAUUAUAAUUUAAGCUUGGAAAAUAUAAUAGGCAACUUAUAAAAUAUGCAUGCAUAUUAAUUAAAAACCAAAAUGUCCACUCACUGAUUUAGGCCUAAGCCUGACGAAUUCCGAAUAACUACUCAAGCGAGGUUCCUUUCGUAUCCUGGCACAAUAAAUAUGCUUAGGACCAAACUUAAAUUCUGGAAAAUUAAACAUUUGAAAAUAAACGCCUAAAUCUCUUCCGCUUAACCCACUACUCUAACUAGGGUUAAGCUCAUCGGAUUUCCACCAAACUCCACCAUAACCUUAAUUCCUCAAUUCUUCAAUUCUAACAUUUUAGAAUAAAUAUCAAGGAACUCCAACGGCCGGAUUUAUCCUAACAACCGCCAUUCUCUCCAAUCUCCGAAAAAUUCCAAACCUAACCAAAACUCAUCCAAAAAUUCCAAACUAUACUUCAAUAAACUCCUCUUAUUAAAACCAUCUCAAAAACAGGAAAAACUGCCCUUAAGGGGCUGCGGCGGCCGGCGGCCGUAUUCCGGCAAGGACCAAAGCUUCUCAAAUUUUAGCAAAAUAAUCCUCUCAUCAUUCACAACAACUUUCAUUACUAGCACUUAAUCCAAUUCUAAGGCUAACUAGGGUAAUCGAACUAAAACAUCCAAAAAAAUCCCCAAAUUCAAACCCUAGACCGAAAAUCCUUCUACACACUUCGAAUUUGAUAGUUACCUUCUAGGGGAUUGAUGCACCAAGAAAGGCCGUCAAGCUGAGCCAAACGUCUCCAGUUAUAGUGGCCAGAAGGGGGAGAUUUCGACAGAAACUCCCCCCGCUGCCCAGUCGGCUUCUAGUCAGGUUUUCUCCUUCACGGCGGCAAGGCACGGCCAUCCACCUGCCCAAAAUUACAAUAGAGCUGACGCUGAGUCGAACAGGACCAGUGCGGCGGUGUGUGGCGGCCGGACGGAGGCUGGGAAUCCAGCCGGUCGGGGGAGAGACACGGGAGAGAGGAGAGAGAAACAGAGGCAGAGAAGGAAAUGGGCUUCUCUCACACCCGGUCCAACUUAACCCAACAAAAUAAAGCCUACAAAAAUUUACCCCCUUUUUACCAUCCAAAGUAACUUUCGUUAUUAGACCAUAACUUCUUCAUACGAACUCCGUUUUAAGUGUGCCGCAUGUCAACGAACUCCGUUUUAAGCGUGCCGCAUGUCCACGAACUCCGUUUAACAUCCUCUACGACUUUCAUGAAGAAAGUUUUCCCAAAUUUCAAACGGAAGAAAAAGUCAACUUUUAAAGUCUUAAAUAGUAAACGGCUACUUAAAACGCUAAAAGGUCAAAGUAACCCAAAAGUAAAUAACCGCAAAUUGACUUAAGAACCGGGAUGUGACAAUUCUCCCCUCCUUAUAAACAUUUCGUCCUCGAAAUUUCAAAUCAUGCCAAGGGGGUAGAGGUUACGGCCUUUCACCUUAGACUCUAACAAGCGCUAUGCUAAUCAUCCUAUCAUCAAUGCUCUUCAAACUUUCUUCUAUCACAAUUUACACCUUUUCACUUGUGGAAACAAUUAGCCGAAUUCUUUUCCAAUUAUAUUGGAACGUCAAAAUUUAUCUGUCAAACCCGAGGCGUGAGCAUAUGCUUUAACAAAUCUCAAACUCAAGAUCAACUGAAAUACUCUGCCAACAUUCCACAUGGCACCACUCACAUAACACAUUGCUCCUUGACUUACCUUCCUCUAAUUGAAUGACUUGACUGAUUAUAAUUACUUAUGACACACAACCCCAAAUCACACGGAUGACUUUAACUUUCGUCAAGUCAAUAUGGUCAAUAAAUUUUGUAAUUUACAACACCAUCUUAUUUCCGUCACCAAUUAAUCAAAACAAAACUCGAUCGCUCGCAUCGAAUUUGAACCUUCCCCACCUAUGUGGUUAGCCUCAAUCAUUAACCCGAUCGGCGAAUACCUCCCUUGUCGCCAGAUUACGCUAAUGCGAUAUAUGCUACCAAACCCUUAUUCUGAAUAUCUCUUGUAUCUCAAAUCAUAUCCAUACAACAAUGACCUCCCAGGUCCUACACGGAUCAAGUGGUCCCACCACAAUAUGAUCACGCAUGAAUACACAUCACAAGGAAAAUAUUUAACAUGAUCUGCCACUAUUUACCAUUUAUGCCAACGGACUAACAAGCCUAGACUCAAAAUAUUUCCCGAGUCAUCAAGAAUCUUUUUCCUUUAAGGUUAUACCACCAACCAAUCAUAUUAUUAUUUCUAUCAAUUCGCCCCUCGAAUUAAUCAUUACUAACCAGUAAUAUCCGUCAGAAUCUCAUCCCUCAAUAAAAAAUUCAACAGUCGCCACCAACGACUACUUACAAGCACAAGAAAAAUAUCACUCUCAAAAUCGAUCAACAUAUCUGAAUAACUGGCACCUCCAAAAAUGAGGAAAAUACGAUGAUUAGGCGUAUGACGAUACCUUACAAGUUACGAGUAUCUCCUCGUACGAACCAAGUUCAUUCAAACUUGCAUGCAGACUAGUCUUUAGGAUACAAUAACUUUCCACAAACAAGAAGAGAUAAGUUGCUCACUGCUUACUGCAACAAUUCAGGUUGCUUUUACUACAACACGCGUCUGCAAUUAUCACCAUCAUCUUAAUAAUACCAGUUGGUCAAACGGAAGAUAAUCGAAAUAGUGAAUCUCACACGAGUCAACGAAAUCCGAGGAUCACUAUUGGAAUUUCACUAUUUGAUGACUUGCUUCUCGCGUUUUAUCAUGCAUAAUAGCGACUAAGUAUCAACUCAAGUCAAGGAACAAGAAUUUUCAAAUAACGGCCCUGCCAUUACGCAUAAUGUUAAGAAAAAUUAUCGUUGGGCUAUACUUCUCUCUCAUAAUUAUGCAUUGCUAAUGAUGCCAAAGAUCACGAACACCUACUCGCAUUUCCUGAGUAGAACUUUGCUCAAGAAUUUCUCGUUAUCGAUAACAAACGUCGAAGUCUCAUUAAUAAAUCGUACCUACUAAUAGCUGCCAAAGCACAGAAAUUCCCGCAUUGACUAUAAAGUCAAAUCACUUUAAGUACUCACCUGAUAACCGCACUAACAAAUAAAAUACAAACUCUGAGUUGACCGAAUUGAGUGUCAGCAUAGCUGAUGUUGGCAGUCUAUCAUUCAACACUAGAUAGUCCUCUCUUGCUACCUCCAUAUGAUGCAAAGUGAUUUCCUUUCUUCUAUUUGAUUGCUAGAUCUGACUAGCUUAAUCACGCAGGUCCAUAACAUCCAAGGAAGAUGAGAGCACCAAAACUGGAGUCCUAUGCUUAGGUCGCCAAAACGACUAGAUGCCAAAGAUAAUUACUCUUCGUAGAAUGCCGAAUUGUACGAAUGCGUACAAAAGUCUAUAACACCUUUCUCGAUAAGAUAUGAUGAUCAGCAAUCAUGAGUCGAACUGAACCCCGCAAGGCCCGACUCUCAACUCAUGUCGAAAAUUUACUUAUAUCAAGGACAAGUCAGUCUUAGAACACCCCAGGACAUCGACGAUACUCAUCGAUUGCCACACUGCUCCAGUAAUUACCUCAAAGAAUUUGUGUCACAUCCCGACCCUUAUAUUUUUACCUUAUUUACUAGCUUGAUUAUAAUAAGAAUUUUACCGUCUCGAUCAUUGAGUUAAUAGCUUAAUUGGUCCCUAGAGGGGUUUCAGGGUCGAUUUUAGUGCUGAGGAUUAUUCGUGGGAGAAAAUAUGACGACGGUAAAAAUGGUAAAUUUUUGCUAGUAAAAGGUAAUUUUUAUUGGGGUAUUAUUUUUGGGGUGUUGAAAUUUGAAUUGGGUAUAUGUGGGUUGGAACCGGUUGGGCUAAGCCCAAAAAUCUCUCUCCCCCUCCCGAUUCUCUCUCUCCUCUCCCGCUCCCACACCCGAACCUCUCCCUGCCGGAAUUUCGACCGCCCGUCCGCCGCCGUCCGGCCGCCCCAGACCGCCGCACCGGUCCCAAUCGAUCGGUCUCCAACCCAGCUAUCUUCCAGGACCGGUGACAGCCCCCCUAGCGCCGCCGUGAGAGAGCGGUGCCGCCCGAAAGGCUAGGCUGCCCCGAACUUCCGGCCGCCGGAACUCCCUCCUCCGGCCACCAAUCCGGGCAAGCUUGGUACGGUUUUAUAGCCCUCCUCCCGUGCAGCAACCCCUCCAAUCAGCUCACUCCCUCUUGAGCUAGGUAAGGAGAAAUGUGGAGUUGAAAUUUCUAGGGCUUUUAGGAUGUUUUUGUUCGAUUAGCCUAGUUAGGCUUGGAAUUGGGUGAUGUGUUGGUCAGGAAAGUUGUAGAGCAUGAUGAGGAGAUUAUUCUGUCAAAAUUUCAUAGGUUUUGGAGGUCGCCGGAAUUGGCCUCUGGCCGCCGCCGGUUAAGAGAUUUUUAGGGUUUUAAGUGUGGAAUAUUAAGGGGAGUAUAUUGAUGUGAUUUAUGGAAUUUUUGGAUGAGAUUUGGAUAGGUUUGUGAAUUUCCGAAGUUUGGUAUUUUUGACGGUUAAUUAAUGUAGAAUCCGGCCGUAGGAUUUAAGUCGUAUUUUGGGGAGGUUGUAUUUACGACUGUUGAGUAUGAUAUACAAGUUCGGAUCGUUCCGAUUUAAGAAUAUCGAAGUUAGGCGAGAAUGAGCGUGGUUACGGCUCAUAAUUAGUUUGCCUAUUUUUGAGUACGUUCUGGAUUUUCGGUUGAGAAAUUAAUUUUAUAUUUGGAACAGGACGUGAGGAGGCUCGAGCAGACGAGACCCCAGAUCGACAUCAGGCUUAGGCCUAAUUUGUGAGUGGACGUUUAUUUAAAUAAAUGCAUGCUAUAGUUCAUGGUUGAACAAUUAAAUGUUGCGGAAUAUUUUAACGUCAUUUUAAUUUGACGAUUUUUAUUUCUCUUGGAGAGUUACCGAAAAAUGGGAUUUUCGGUGGAUAUAAAUAUGUAUUUAUGAGAGAGUAUGUAUAUAAAUGCUAGCUAGCCAUAUGUGUCUGUCCACCUUAAUGGCGUAGCAAUAUAGCCGCAUUAUGGUGUGACGUGAGCGUUGGACGUAAGCGUAGUAGCCUAUUGAGUGUUAAAUUNAUAUAGGGGUAUGGACACNNNNNNNNNNNNNNNNNNNNGGUAUGGACACAUAUUUAUACACCCGUCUGUCCACCUUGAUGGCGUAGUGUAGCACCGCAUUAAAGGCGUGACGUGAGCGUUGGACGCGAGCGUAGUAGCCCUAUAUAGACCCAUGAAUUUAUAUAGGGAGUAUGGACGAGUGUAAAUACAUACAUAUAUUAUAGAGUCUGAGAGGCUCGAUAUUUUUUUUGAGAUAAAAGUUUUAUCGCUUGCGGCAUGCAUUCGAUUUUUCCUUAGAAAUUAAUUUGGGGAAACAUAAAUAUUUUAUUUAUUAUUUUAUUUUUGUCCACUCACUCUAACGUUAUUAAAUGUUUCCCCCUGGGCCUUUCGUUUUAAAUUGCCCAGUCUGCAGAGUUCGGGUUGGAUCUAGUAGGAGACGAGGCAUAGUCACCCGCAUUUCCGUCAGUUUUCAUCAGUAGGUUACAUGUUUAACCUACUCGUGUUUUCUUGCUUCCGCUUGUGUUUAGUAGCUCUGAAUACUUUGGGAUUAUUGUAUUUUAUGUGUAGAAUUUCUAAAAGUUAAUUAUGUGAUGUUUGGACGUGUUGAAUUAAGAGAGUAACUUGGAAUUUUCGAGUUAGGGUUGUCCAUCUGCAAGGGAGAUUUUCUUAAUCUUUUCAGUAAAUUUUUCUUGGAGGUGGUCCCCGCACGACUUACUCCGGGUUUCAGGGUGAAAUUCGGGGUGGGUCGUGUCAAUUUGGGGUCUAAAAAGACAAUCUAACAUCAAGUCACACUCUUCACAUAAGAGAGAUACCUCGAAUCUCCUCGAUUCCUGUGCUACUCCUUGGGCAAUGUAAAAUUGACGGCCGCAUGCUCCAUCUCAAGAUUGUGCGUCAACCGCAUUAUCUUUUGUGUAACGCUCAAGUGGAAGCAUAGAAUUGCUCGAAUCCGAUAAAACUUCGGCAACCACUUAUAGUCUCGACCUAUCAAUUUCACCACUUAAAUACUUCAAACAGAAGCUACAAUCGUGGGAUAUACUACCUUAAGAUCAACAUCUCACUCAUCCUCUUGGGAAUUUUUCACAUCAGCUAAUAACAAUAGCUAAAGCGAAACACAAUUAUUCCCAGAUCAACAACUCCAAUUACACCGCUUUAACCACCCUUGUGUAUCAUCAUACACAUUACCAAUCCAUAUUUAUCCUGACACUUCUCUACUAACAAUCAUCUGACCCGAUACCACGAUUUCCUAACCAACCACCACUUCAAAUUUACAACUUCAAUCUUGCUUACAUCAAUGACUGAAGAUAUCAAAGAUUGGGAUUACUUUUAGACGAUAGAGGUUCGUCAGUAAUCUCCUGCCACAGUCAAAAGAUUUAAAAGCUGGAAUGAAUCGCUUCCAAACAUUAUUUUGUCUGAGACUAGCUUGUAUCAAUUAACCCAAAACAAUGCCACUUAAUAUAAAUAAGGACACGCAUUUACGCUUCUUCAAUCAAUCUCUACGACUUCAGUCUCCAUAUUCUGAAUUAUUCUGUAACUCUUUUACCUAUUAACAAACCGACACCUACACACAAAAGCAGCACUUUCCUUUUCUCCACUUUAUUCCUCAAGUUCGGUCAUUUGACCACAAAUAUAAUGCUUAAAACAAAAUAAAUUCAACUUUUUUUACCGAAAAAUCAAAGCGACCACUACCAUCUCACCUCUGCUGCACCACUAUAUACCAACGCCAUUUAUACUUACAAUCCUUCCAAAACACUCAACAUAAAUAGGGGAGCAAAUCCCAAACUUAUAGAUACCGGACAUAAAUCGACCAAUAACAAUUUCAAAAAUCACUCUUCAAUGCAUAAACCAAACUUUAACAGCCCCAUAAUAUACAUCAAGUAAUCUCCACAAUUUAUUCGCUCAAGCAGUAGCUUUCCACAUUUUAUCUCAAAACAAAGCAACCCUUACACGUUAACACCUUUAAGAUAUCUCUUAUUUCAGCACCAACCUUAUCUAAAAAUAUCUCAAUCCUUCAAUCAUAUGCAUGUCCCCUGUAUCACUAGUAUCCACAAAAAGGCUCAACUCGCCACUCUAAUAUAAGCCAACAAUUCAAUAAAUAUGGAUAAAGAACACUGCAAUUACAUGUCACUUCCCAACUCGUAAUUGAGCUCAAAAUCUCACAACCCCAAUAAAUCAUAAAUGGAAGGUGCAAAUUACUUACCUUUCCAUUACUCGGAAAAUAACUAAGAUACCCUUUGAGGUCGGUGUACGGAGGCAUAGUCUUGAAGAUGUAGACAUUUAAGGCACAAUACUAUCCAUAAAUAAGAUAAGAACAACUAGCUCACAUACCUAAAAAACACCUAGCAUCUUAUGCAUAUAAUGCUAAUGGAUCCGCCGCGGUCGGACCAUCACUCUAUAGACACUAAGUAUCACCAAGUAUAUGAGGUACUCAUACGAAUCGGAUAACCUAAUGCUCUGAUACCAACUGACAGGACCCACCCCGAAUUUCAUCCUGAAACACGAGGUAAAUCCUGCGGGGUCCACCUUCAAGGAAAAUUUACCGAAAAUUUGGCAUAACCUUCCUUAAAAAUGGACAACCCUUACUUGAAAAAUCCAACUUAACACUUCUAUAAUCAAACAUCCAUCCUCAACACCUGGAGCCUUCCUGCUCCCCAAGUCUAGACCGAAAAUCCUCCUACACACUUCGAAUUUGAUAGUUACCUUCUAGGGGAUUGAUACACCAAGAAAGGCCGUCAAGCUGAGCCAAACGUCUCCAGCUAUAGUGGCUGGAGGAGGGAGAUUCCGACAGAAACUCCUCCCGCUGCCCAGUCGGCUUCUAGUCGGGUUUUCUCCUUCACGGCGGCAAGGCACGGCCAUCCACCUGCCCAGAAUUACAAUAGAGUUGACGCUGAGUCGAACGGGACCAGCGCGGCGGUUUGUGGCGGCCGGACGGCGGCGGACGGAGGCCGGGAAUCCAGCGGGUCGGGAGAGACGGGGGAGAGAGGAGAGAGAGAAACAGAGGCAGAGAAGGAAAUGGGCUUCUCUCACACCCGGUCCAAGUUAACCCAACAAAAUAAAGCCUACAAAAAUUUACCUCCUUUUUACCAUCCAAAGUAACUUUCAUUAUUAGACCAUAACUUCUUCAUACGAACUCCGUUUUAAGCAUGUUGCGUGUCCACCAACUCCGUUUAACAUCCUCUACGACUUUCAUGAGGAAAGUUUUCCCAAAUUUCAAACGGAAGAAAAAGUCAACUUUUAAAGUCUUAAAUAGUAAACGGCUACUUAAAACGAUAAAAGGUCAAAGUAACCCAAAAGUAAAUAACCGCAAAUUGACUUAAGAAUCGAGAUGUGACAAUGUCAAUCCGACGAAAAUAGUAUAGUACCUGAAAUCAAAUAUCCCAAACCCCAAAAGUAAAAGUUACUGCUGAAUAAUAAAUCUACACAUGAAAGAAUCAUAACACCUAUCAUCAACAUCAGAUGGAAUACAGUAGAAGUUAAUGCAAAAGAUUGAAAUUUCACAACUAAAUAUAAACAAUCGAGUACCCGAAGGGGAGAGCCGUUUUCUGAAACAACCGGGAGAAAGUUGGUUUUCAUUUGGGUUGAUCAUUCAC